AUAAUUUAUGUUUGUUUUUGUCUAAUUUGUGGACAAAGACUUACAGACAGGUCAAAAAAAAAAAAAUCCUCUUUUACAACCCAGAACUCACUGUUCAGUAUGAGUUUUGAUCCAUAUAAGAAGGACUAUU
ensembl:snoRNA